rnacentral:rRNA from 1 species
UACAGGGGGGGCAAGCGUUGUUCGGAAUUACUGGGCGUAAAGGGCCAGUAGGCGGCCAACUAAGUCACACGUGAAAUCCCCAGGCUUAACCUGGGAACUGCGUGUGAUACUGGAUGGCUUGAAUUCGGGAGAGGGAUGCAGAAUUCCAGGUGUAGCGGUGAAAUGCGUAGAUAUCUGGAGGAAUACCGGUGGCGAAGGCGGCAUCCUGGACCGACACUGACGCUGAGGCGCGAAAGCGUGGGGAGCAAACAGG